GAACAAGGCAGAGGGAGAACAAGGAAAUCCUUGUUUGCUAAAUUCCACCAAAUUACUUGAAAUCUCAAGGAGAAUCUAGUGCAUGAACUUCAAUCUACACUCCUUUGAACUCGUUUAUUGAAGUGGCGUGAAGGAAGAAGGUUCAAGUACUAGGAAAACGGAAGACGCACAAGAUCGAGGUAAAUCCUCGGCAUAAUGGCUUGGCGACUUGGAACGAACACACUCGAAUCGCGCCCACUUUGCGCUUCCGAAAAUGUUUAUUUUGUGUGGUCCUAGUUUUUGUCAUAUGUCUAUUCCCAUAUGUGUAAACAAUUUGUCGUCUUUGUGUUUUGCCAUAAACUUAGUUAGUUUGGUAGACUUGUAUCUUGCCAACUUAAGUUUGUUACUUUUGGUUAAAAGAAAAGGUUGUUUAUAAAAUAGUUGGGUGUUUUGUUGUUAAAAACAGGGAAACGUUUUUCUUACGAACAGGUUAUGCCCAAAUUUUGUAAAUUAGUAUGUCAU